GUCAUCUUCGCCCUCAGUAGUCAUCACAGCUCAUCGAACUCUACACUAUUCAGAUUUCAGAAAACCCUAACCCUCUCUCUCCCUCUCUCUCUCUCUCUCUCUCGCAGUUCACAAAUCACAACACUCAAUGGCACGCUGGCCAGGUUCGCCCAAGAACAUGUAAAGAAAUGCAAAUUUGUGAAUUUACACAUGUUAAUUUUUCUUUAUGAAAAAAGAUAAGCAGGCGAAGGGGUUUAAAGAUUGUACAUUUUGUCGGUGGAAGAUUAAUUACUGUAAAGGAGGUGCUCUGUGUUGAUUCUUCUAUGGCGGAGUUGAUUGGCCCUAGAUUGUACUGCUGCUGUAAUUGUCGAAACCAGCUACUUUGUUCUUCUUGGCAAUCGAAAGGGGCCUUAACCUUAUGGAUCCUUGUUUGUCUAGCAUUUUGAGGGGAAGUAUGAAUUGCUCAUGAUUCAUAAAUCAGACAGAAUUGGGAAAUUUUAUUUCUUUUUAAUUUUUCAGUGAAAGACAAUGUGGAUUGAUUAUUUGAUUUAUGUAUAUUUUCUGCUAGUUUUGACUGUGAAUUUGUGACUCUACUGAAACCUUUGGCUAGAUAUUUGUCCCAACAAUUUUCUAUAAUGUUGAUCUUAGGGAAGAAAUGGCCGUGCCUUUCUGUUUUCUCAUGCAAUGAACAUCGUGGUGGGGCCCAAAGAGGACAGACAGCUCAUGACUGGUCUGCAUACAGUUGCGGAUGUCCACUGCAAUGACUGCCGUGAGGUGCUAGGUUGGAAGUAUGAACGAGCUUAUGAGGAAACUCAGAAGUAUAAGGAAGGGAAAUUUAUACUUGAGAAGUCAAAAAUUGUCAAGGAAAACUGGUAGUCCCAAUGAAGGUUCAUUGAUAGUCUGUCUUAGUGAGCUGUAAGUGUAUGGGUGCUUCCCCAUGUUCAUCUUGUCCAGGAAAUUGCCAUCAAUUGAAAACAUUUGCUCAUCGCUCCUCACUGUGCAGUCUUCUUGUGUUCCUUGUUUGAAUAUUGUAUUGAAUUUUAUUUAUCUUGUGAAUAAACUUGCGGAUAUUUCUCUUGUUCA